rnacentral:rRNA from 1 species
GAUGAACGCUGGCGGCGUGCCUAAUACAUGCAAGUCGAGCGAACGGACGAGAAGCUUGCUUCUCUGAUGUUAGCGGCGGACGGGUGAGUAACACGUGGAUAACCUACCUAUAAGACUUGGAUAACUUCGGGAAACCGUAGCUAAUACCGGCUAAUAUUUUGAACCGCAUGGUUCAAAAGUGAAAGACGGUCUUGCUGUCACUUAUAGAUGGAUCCGCGCUGCAUUAGCUAGUUGGUAAGGUAACGGCUUACCAAGGCAACGAUGCAUAGCCGACCUGAGAGGGUGAUCGGCCACACUGGAACUGAGACACGGUCCAGACUCCUACGGGAGGCAGCAGUAGGGAAUAUUCCGCAAUGGGCGAAAGCCUGACGGAGAAAAGCCGCGUGAGUGAUGAAGGUCUUCGGAUCGUAAAACUCUGUUAUUAGGGAAGAACAUAUGUGUAAGUAACUGUGCACAUCUUGACGGUACCUAAUCAGAAAGCCACGGCUAACUACGUG